rnacentral:rRNA from 1 species
CCUACGGGAGGCAGCAGUGAGGAAUAUUGGUCAAUGGACGAGAGUCUGAACCAGCCAAGUAGCGUGAAGGAUGACUGCCCUAUGGGUUGUAAACUUCUUUUAUAUGGGAAUAAAAUGUUCCACGUGUGGGAUUUUGUAUGUACCAUAUGAAUAAGGAUCGGCUAACUCCGUGCCAGCAGCCGCGGUAAUACGGAGGAUCCGAGCGUUAUCCGGAUUUAUUGGGUUUAAAGGGAGCGUAGGUGGAUUGUUAAGUCAGUUGUGAAAGUUUGCGGCUCAACCGUAAAAUUGCAGUUGAAACUGGCAGUCUUGAGUACAGUAGAGGUGAGCGGAAUUCGUGGUGUAGCGGUGAAAUGCUUAGAUAUCACGAAGAGCUCCGAUUGCGAAGGCAGUUCACUGGACUGCAACUGACACUGAGGCUCGAAAGUGUGGGUAUCAAACAGGAUUAGAUACCCGAGUAGUC